rnacentral:rRNA from 1 species
GGCGUGCCUAAUACAUGCAAGUCGAGCGAAUGGAUUAAGAGCUUGUCUUAUGAAGUUAGCGGCGGACGGGUGAGUAACACGUGGGUAACCUGCCCAUAAGACUGGGAUAACUCCGGGAAACCGGGGCUAAUACCGGAUAACAUUUUGAACCGCAUGGUUCGAAAUUGAAAGGCGGCUUCGGCUGUCACUUAUGGAUGGACCCGCGUCGCAUUAGCUAGUUGGUGAGGUAACGGCUCACCAAGGCAACGAUGCGUAGCCGACCUGAGAGGGUGAUCGGCCACACUGGGACUGAGACACGGCCCAGACUCCUACGGGAGGCAGCAGUAGGGAAUCUUCCGCAAUGGACGAAAGUCUGACGGAGCAACGCCGCGUGAGUGAUGAAGGCUUUCGGGUCGUAAAACUCUGUUGUUAGGGAAGAACAAGUGCUAGUUGAAUAAGCUGGCACCUUGACGGUACCUAACCAGAAAGCCACGGCUAACUACGUGCCAGCAGCC